UUCCAAAACUUACUUCAUUCUCUUAGUCUCGAAUUUUAUCAUGAGUCCCCCAAUUCCUUUCAAUGUCUCUUCUUCUUGACUCAUAAAAUCUAGUCGCUGCCAAAUUAAGCUUUAUUAGGGUUUCAUGUCCAAUGCGUGUUUUCCUUUUAUCUGCUUUGUUUUGUAAUUAAAAGGGCGAGAAAACCAGAAAGUUACUGACAUCGUCACCGUCGCCUUCGCGAUGGAGCGCUUUAGGAAUGCGAUAAGAGCCUCGCGCUCGAUCUUUACGAUGGUGCGAUUUGGGAAUGCGAUAAGAGCAUCGCGCUCGAUCUCCGUCUCUCGCCGAUGCUAUUAACUGGAGUAGCUUCCGAAGCGCCCCCUUCUCCAUUCAGUUUUAGUUUUUCAAAGUGGAGUUCCUGGUAGACGUCCCGUGAUCGACAUUGAACUUCAAUCCCGAUCAGAAGUUUGGGCCAAUUGGGGGUUUCAACACUGGACAAUACGACAAACUGUGCAGAUUAUAAUGUUAGAGAUAGCUUUGUGAACCCUCCAACAAAUGAAGUAGCUAGGCAGACCUCCAAUGCUAAUAAAAUUUUGGGAGGUUUUGUUUAUGAUCCAUCCUAUUAUUCCUCCCUCUUUGAAGAUAUUCAAGAGACACAACACAUGACUGAGGUAUCAUCUGCACUUGUGUCAACUUGAAAACUGUCAUGUGUUAAAUUAUCAGUAAGCAGCCUAGUUUUCUCAUGUUGUUCCUCUUCUAGAAUUUUUUUUAUAUCACUAUUGGCCAUUAUUACAUCAGAGUUUGUGCCUCAUACCUUCUGGUCUCUAUUAUAACUUUUAUAAGAUAUCAGUGAGGUGUCAUGGCAUUUUGUGGUCUUAUACCUUGUUGAACUAAAUGAAAUUAAACAUGCACUAGCAAAUAAUUUGCAUUAACGAAGCCUCAAAGGAAGAAUAGUGUCGCGAAAAGAAAUAAUCCUGUCUUGCCAUCAAAUGUGCCACGGUCAUUACAUUUAUUGUACCACGGUCAUCCUGUCUUGCCAUCAAUAACUUCCUUACAAUGAGCAGCCGCCAAUUCAUCCUAGUAGAGCUCAAAGAGAUGACUUCAUGUUGAAUUACCUAGUCAAGAGAGGGGUUGCUUUAGGCCUCCGGGUGGAGAUGAUGGACCAUGGAUCCAAACCAUGAUGACUACUCUGCUAUUUUGAAUGAGGAGGUGAGAGGAAGAGAGGAAGACAUAGAUAAAAUAAAAGAGCUCCUUCAACAAGACAAGGAUGGAAAUACAUCCUUCAUCAUUACCUUGGAAGGGUUUAAAUGAGCGACUUAUCAUGAGUAGACGCCCAUCCAUUGGAAUUAUGUUUAAAAAGGCUAGUAAAUGCCUGAGGCAUACAUACUCUUUUAACUACAUUUGAUUUUAUGUAAUUAAAGAAAGAUGGUUGAUUUUAAUCAUGACCUUAUAGGUAUAUAUCUGAGAGAUUUUUUCUCUUCCGUUUUGCA